GUUUUAAUAGUUUAAAUAAAACAUUGGUCUUGUAUACCAAAAUUAAGUUAUUAACUUUUAAAACA
rnacentral:tRNA from 1 species